UUUCUUUGUUUAACAGAAGUCUUUGCUUCAUUCUUUGUUUAACAGAGGCUUUCUGGCUUUUAAUUUUUUAAAGACAAACUUUUUCUCCCAAUUCCCAAAUAUAAAAAAAAAAACUAGGGUUCUGCUGGGUUUUCUUCCAAUUCCCAAAUCAAAGAAAAGGCUAGGGUUCUGUUGCUUCCUCUGCUAGGGUUCGUCGGUUUAUCUCAUGAGGUAAAGUUUGCUUGUCACCAACCCUACCUAUCUUGACAAAAGUUCUGAGUUUCAUUAGUUUUAUUUUGGAACCAGUAAAGAAAGAAUCUUAGAGUCCUAAAUUUUGCUUUUUCCUCUAUUAAUUUGUGAAGUAAAUUGUCAUAACUAAUAAUCAAAUCAAUAAGACAAGUAGACAAAUAAGCACGGUUUUAAUUAUUGAAACAGACAAUGAAGAUGUUUGCUUGAAUCUAGAAAUUUGGUGUUGAUUGAUGCAACUUGACACAAGUUUGAUGUCGUCUCAUACUUUUGUAAUUAAAAUAAAGUACAUGAUGAUUUACUCUUUUACUUCAAGUAAAUUUCUAUUUUGUGAUUUUUAGGUUUUUCUAGCAAAAGUCGAUAUGAUCACGAGUUUUUACCAAGCUCAAGCUACUGCAACUUCUUCUAGCUCUCCUUUGACAAGUUCUCCAUGUCCAGUUAUUAAUAACAAUAUUAAUCUUUCCCAAGCAUCGGAUAAAGUGUGCUAUUAUGAGCCCGAUCCUGCUAAAAGAAAACCAAUUUCAAAAUAUUCUCCUAAUUUACGUGACCGUAUAAGGAGAAAUUAUAUACAAAAUGGAGCUUGUCAACCCCGUGGUUUUGUCUUUCCAAAAAGAGAUUUUGGGGGAAUAAUGCAUCACUUUAGUCCUCAAUGGUUAAAACUUCAUGUUCUCAAUGGUUAGAAUAUAGCAUUAAACAAGAUGCAGCAUUUUGUUUAUGUUGUUACUUGUUUAAAAAUGAGGUUGGAGGAUAUGGAAAAAAAGUAGGUGAUGCUUUCACAACAGAUGGUUUUAGAGGUUGAAAUAAAGCUUUAGAAAGAUUUAAUUCACAUGUGGGUAACGUGGGUAGUGUUCAUAAUCGAUGUUUCAAUAUGAUGCUAGAUUUAAUGAACCAAGAACAAUCCAUUCUAACUUCUUCGGACAAACAAUCUGAGAAAAUUAAAAGUGAUCAUCGAGUUCGUUUGAAUGCUUCAAUUGAUGUGAUAAGGUAUCUUUUGAAAGAAGGAAUUCCUUUUCAGGGCCAUGAUUAGAGUGUAACUUCUACUAGGAGAGGCCAUUUUUAGAUCUCUUAAAAUGGUAUGCAGAUAGGAAGGAAGAUGUGAAAAAUGUGGUAUUAGAAAAAGCUCCAAAAAAUAAUACCAUGACUUCUCCUGAUAUUCAGAAAGAUAUUGUGAAUUCUUGUGCAAAACAAACGGUGAAAGCAAUUAUUGAAGACUUGAAUGGGGAUUUUUUUGGGAUAUUAGUUGAUGAGUCUAAGGAUGUCUCUCAUAAGGAACAAAUGGCUCUUGUUCUGCGCUAUGUCAAUAAAGAGGGUGAACUUAUUGAGUGCAAUUGAAAUGAUGCGAUCAUUGAUCGUUGAUCGUUUUCAAAACAUGACAACUCGUCGAGUGCAAUUGAAAUGAUAAUGUUUAUAUUCAUAUAUUGUGUUGUCUUUAGUUACUUUUUAACUAUAUAUUAAAUAUCGAUACUUAUUCUUUAGUCGGUUUGAUAUUGUAUAUCAGUUUUAGGUUAUAGUCUUAUUCUAAAUUUUAGAACCCACACACUCCAAAUCCUAGCUCCGCCUCUGUCUAUGAUGCUUAGAUUCUUCCAAACUUUGUGUUAUUAAGAAGUUUGCUUUCAUAAUCCUUUUCUCUAUCGAUUCCUUUAUUGCUCUAGCUAGGAGUUCUCUCUUCAACAGCUAGCUAGUCGAUUCAACCUAUUCAGACAACUUACCUGUUAAAAGGGCAACUUGCUGUAUAAAACAUUCUGUGCUCGCACAGGGCCUGGGAAAGACUGCACCACAAGGACUAUAAUAUAGACAGUCUACCUUGAUAUAAGUACCAACGGCUAAUUCUACGGCUUGAACCCGUGACCUAUACACAUACAGCUCUAUUUUUAAAAGUUGAGAAAAAGAAAGCAAGGCCUAUUAUUAAUAAAUGUAUCAUUAACUUUGUCAAUGUUGUUUCUUAUAGCGCAAGGCAGCAAAUUACAUUGCAAACGUAGUUGCAAUGGCACUGAUACAAUUUAGCAACCGUUACACGGCCCAUAAAGUUAAGAAACUAAGUUUUCCUGACUUUAUGUGUUGCUCUAGAAUCUACAAGUAUCUUUUCAAUUCAAGAAAUGCUAAAGUUAAUAACUCUAACUAGGACGGAAGGAGGGUUUUGGAUAAAAAAUAACUUAAAAGUACUUUGUGACUUCAGUAGUGGAUUUCGAAAGUAAAGACUUUGUUUACUUCCUAAAAAUUGUUUACGUAAAAACUAGUAGAAAUAAUGGAAUCUUGAAUGGAAAAAGAAACCGUGUUAGAGAGAAGAAAGAGACCUCUCUAUUACAAGAAUCAUAGCCGGCCAAGAGAAUGAAAAUAUUGGUGGAAGAUCUGUAUUUCGAUCUGCCUUGGGUGCGGCGACGAAAAAAGUCUAGUUCAUCCGCUUCAAUUAAGCACAUCUUAUGAAAUAUACAGGCCGGGUUGAUCUAAGGUCAAACAUCCUAAUCGAAUACGAGUAAUCUCCUAGAUUAAUUUUCCUUUUGUUUCGGAUGGUUAUUGAUCAUAAAUUAAGAGCAGUUAUAUUAAGAACAUGUCAUAUUGAUGACAAAGAAAACAUUGGAGAAGAAGUACGCUUAAACACUCUCCAAGACAACAAAACCAUCAUAUUGUGGGGAGGGUAAAAAGAGUAUCCAAUGCAAAAUGGUUUUUCAUUCACUUUUUUCGUCGCCCCCCACCCCCCACCACCCCACCCCCACAAACCCCCGCCCUCUCCCCAAGCACCCCAUGCUCAGAGGGAGUAUUAGUAGUCAAGAAUAUACGCUUAGUAUUUUUUAUAUGAAAACUACGCAGAUACUCGCCAAUAGAAGGCGAGACUUUAAAACCAAAAAGACGAGAUUUCAAUAAAUAUGACAUAUAGAUAUCAAAGUGAAACCAGAGUUACAUUUUCAAUUGAAGAGAAAAACAUAACAGUUGUCCUUAUUACUCAUCUCAAUAUAUAUAUUGGCAAAUAAUUGAAAUUGAGUUGAUACUCGUAAUAACUUCGUAUAGCAUACAUUAUACGAAGUUAUACUGUGAUUUCUCCUAUCUUAUCAUUUUCAUCAAACAUGGCAAACAAAUAAGUUUCUAUAGUCUUUCCAGGUUUCUUUGGAGUUCCUGCCCCGCUUUUCACAUGAUUAAUCAAAUUUCUGUAAUAAGUUUGAGCGUUUUCAAUAGUUGCUGCAGAGCUUCCUUCAGAAGGCCAUCCACUUUCAGAUACAAUAAUCUCCACAUUUGGUCCUCCA
rnacentral:lncRNA from 1 species